rnacentral:rRNA from 1 species
GACAGGAGGGGGCAAGCGUUGCUCGGAAUCACUGGGCGUAAAGGGCGCGUAGGCGGGACGCCAAGUCGGUCGUGAAAUCUCCGGGCUCAACCCGGAGGAGUCGGCCGAAACUGGUGUUCUUGAGGGAGGCAGAGGAGUCUGGAAUUCCCGGUGUAGCGGUGAAAUGUGUAGAGAUCGGGAGGAACACCGGUGGCGAAGGCGGGACUCUGGGCCUAUCCUGACGCUGAGGCGCGAAGGCGUGGGGAGCAAACGGG